rnacentral:lncRNA from 1 species
AUAAGGGAUAUUAGCGCCACUUGUUCUUGAUCAGAUAACAUUAUCUCAAAAUGUUUUGCAAGAUAAAAGGAUUGCCAACUAUCCUUAUACCUUCAAUCUCCCCCUUUGGCAUUCCUUCACAAAACACUUCAUUUGUAGGGAAAAUAACCUGCAGAAAACAACUUCAACAACAAGUGAAGAAUCACAGCAACUACAACUGAGUCAUUAGCACACUAACACUGAGAAUUUACUAUUGCAAUAAACAGUCAUAAAACAUUGUAUUGAACAGCCAUAAAAACCAACAAUGUCUUAGAAACAUAAACCAUCAACCAGCAAUUCCUACAACUAAUUCUCCCCCUUUUUGGCAAGGAAUACCAAAGGGAAACAGAGAAUAAAAUAUCCGAGAGGUUUUAAAAGAAAUAGAAACCUACAAUGGAAAACAAGAAACAAGGGAAGUACACACCAUUAGACACCAUAAGACAUCAAAAACAAGAAGAUCACACAGCUUCUUCUGACUCCUCAGCAGAGGCAUCAGAGGACUCCCCAGAACGAGAGCUGGAAGAAGGGGUAGACGAGGCUCCAUCCCCACCAGAAGUGUUAGCAGGAGGCGCAUGUGUCCCCACAGAUUCCUUCAGUUCAUUUCGCAGGGCCUCAAACUGAGCAGUAAAAGAAGCUUGCAGAGUAGCAACAGCAUUUGAAACUUGAUGCUUGAUCUCUUGCUUUAGCAGGGUCUGCUCCAAUGAUUCCACAUACACAUCAGACUAGCUCAUCGAUUUUGCCAAGGAUAACUUGUCGACCGGAGCAGCCUCAUUCUCAGUAGCCAUGACAUCAGUAUCAAGGACAUGUACACCAGCAUCCAAACAUAGUUUGGUGAUGACAGCAGGGAAGACAAGAGAGCUAUUCUCACGAAGAGAUGUGCCCGCACCCCUGAUGGCUUUGUAAAUGAAAUACUCAGCAGGAAAACGAGGCUUGGAAGGGCUAGAAAUCAGAUAUUUAAUCAAGGCAGCCUGUUGGUGAGUGAUUUUGCCUGUGUUGGAGGUGGGAGUCAAAAGAGAGCGAACCACGAAGCCUAAAAGCUUGCACAACUCAGACAUGAAUUGACUGGAAAGAUGAGAAGCAGUGAGCUCUGG